UACGAAGGUCCCGAGCGUUGUUCGGAAUCACUGGGCGUAAAGGGUGCGUAGGCGGCUUGGUAAGUUGGGUGUGAAAGCCCCGGGCUCAGCCCGGGAAGGGCACUCGAAACUGCCAAGCUGGAGUGCCGGAGGGGAGAGUGGAAUUCCUGGUGUAGCGGUGAAAUGCGUAGAUAUCAGGAGGAAUACCGGUGGCGAAAGCGACUCUCUGGACGGCAACUGACGCUGAGGCACGAAAGCGUGGGGAGCGAACAGG
rnacentral:rRNA from 1 species